rnacentral:lncRNA from 1 species
UAGUUGGAUGAUGGUACCUUGAUAAAAAAAAAUGAAACUUAGAGAAUUUAAAAGGAAAAGUUAUCAUACUCGAAUUAUCAACACAUAAAAGUUUUUAAUUGUAUACGACAAAUAAAGUUCUUGACUAGCUGAACCAAUGUUUCCCCUUUGGUUUGUGCUAUUGGUGUAUAUAUGUCUCUGGAUUAAGAAAAUUUAAAACUUCUUGUUUCAAAGGAUUUUACAAAAAUAAACAAUAUUAUAAAUAAAAUUUAAACUUAUUGGAUCCUUUAUUCGAGAUUCAUAUAGACUCAUUGUAGUCACUCCAGUCCUCUGAAUGAGUGUCAUCGUGAUGCACCAAAUCAUCUUCAUAUGCAUUAUCAAUCUGUCUUUCUCUUAUAAGCUUUGCCAUCGUGAUAACGUCGUACCCGAAAAGAUAGAAAUCUAUAGCAUUCACCAUCGUGGCAAUGGUGUUACCCAUCGAAAAAUAGGAACCUGUAGCGUUUAAACUGCAGGAGAAUAUAAAAAAGAGACCAAAAGAUCAAUACCUUGUUUAGGAUUAACAACAUAUAUAACUAAUUACCAUGAUCAGAGAUAUAAUAGUAUCCACGAGAUCUGAUAGAAACGCUCUGUUUUCUCAAAGUUUAUAUGAUCAAAAAUAAAGUGCAAGCCAAUGAAAGUGAGAACAAGAGGAUCAUUAUAAUCAAACCAAACAUAGAUGCAGAAAAGAACAGAGAAAAAAGAAGAAGAUAUACUUACCGAGCCAACUUGGGGAGUUGUGUUUUGCGAGUGAGUUUUUUUAGAUAUAUAAAGAAUGAGUGUAUCAUGCAUCUGUGAAGAGGAAAGAGGUGCGCGAAUAUGAACAACCUUGGCUCAUCGUAAAUUGAUACUUAGCCAUAAUUACGAAAUUAAAUAUUUGAACUACCAAUGUAUAUUAAAGGACUCUUCAAGUGCCACCCUUUCUGUUCUUACUCGACUUAGUUAUCAAGAUUCAUAUUUUUCGUGGGAAAAGAGAAGCAUUGUGAAUUGUGAGAGUGGACCUGCGACUGGCGCUAUUUAGUAGUCUGCGACUGAUUUAUAUCCAUAGUCAUAUUGGUUGUAUUGAAAAGCUCUAUAAUUCAUUGUCAUGUUAUUGAUGCUAUUUUUGCCAUUUUUCUUUUUACAGGACCCAAAAAAAGAGUUAUGUUUAUGUUAACUUUAAAUUCACAAAAAAAUAAACCACAAGCUUGGAUGAAAGUAAAAAACUUCAAUUUCCCGCGCGAUUAGUUUCCAAGUUCAUAUAAAUAACAUUAAUUUAUACGAUUAAAAAAAACCCUUUAUAAUUUUGUUGCGACUUAUAUAGGCUGUUGACCAAAGGAUUCAAAACAGGACGAAGGUUCGAAGAGCUUCCAGAGAAAAUAAUGAUUUGUUUUCAAAUAAAUUAUUGUAUCCACGUCAGCAUUGCAGAUUGAGACCGUAUCUAUAUUUCCACAUCAGCUUCUGACACGUGGCGACCAAACAACCGUAGACUCCUGAAACUAUCCAAUGAAAAAAUUCGAACUUAUCCGACCUUAUCUUAUUAAGAAGAAAAAAAAGCCCUCUCCUCCGAUUAGUACUUCUCAGCUUCACAUUAUCAUCAUCACUCAAACAAACACAAACAUCUGAGAAAUUGUCGUCAUGGCAACCUCUCUACAAGCCGCCACAACUUUUCUUCAGCCGGCCAAGAUCGCCGCUUCUCCUUCUCGCAGCGUUCAUCUCCGAUCAAACCAAACCGUGGCCAAGUCCUUUGGGCUUGAAUCUUCACCAGCUAGACUCACUUGCUCCCUCCACUCUGACUUCAAAGACUUCGCCGGAAAAUGCUCCGAUGCUGCCAAAGUCGCCGGUUUUGCUCUCGCCACCUCUGCUCUCGUCGUCUCGGUAUAACUUCAAUUUCUCAUUAAACAUAUAAACUAAAAACUUAUAGGCCAUUGUGUUUAUUGAAGAACCAAGUUAGGAAUCGUUAUCUAAGACACAUCCAUUUUUUGACUGCCGAUAAAUUUUGAAUGAAAAACUUGUGAAAGAUAGACAAAUCCACUCAUUACCAUUUCUUUUUUUAAUAGGAGCAUUACAAUACUUGUAAAUUUAGUUGCAUAUUGUUAAUUAGUCUUUUAUUCUUGUUCUGUAAAUAAAUAUUUGGGAAAAAUGAAGGGGGCAAGUGCAGAGGGAGCACCAAAGAGGCUAACGUACGACGAGAUACAGAGCAAGACUUACAUGGAGGUUAAGGGGACUGGUACAGCGAACCAGUGUCCAACUAUCGACGGUGGCUCUGAAGCAUUCUCAUUCAAGCCUGGUAAGUACACUGGCAAGAAAUUCUGCUUCGAGCCAACUUCCUUCACCGUCAAGGCAGAUAGCGUCAGCAAGAACGCGCCUCCGGAUUUCCAAAACACCAAGCUCAUGACCCGUCUCACUUACACACUCGACGAGAUCGAAGGACCCUUCGAGGUUCGUCCUCAAAUCAAAUUAUAGAUGUUGCUUCCACCGCAAGAAACAGACAUUGUCAAAAUUUGAACUGUUCAUAUUUGACAGGUUGGUUCAGAUGGAAGCGUGAAGUUCAAGGAAGAAGAUGGGAUCGAUUACGCAGCAGUUACGGUCCAGCUUCCUGGAGGAGAACGCGUGCCGUUUCUCUUCACGGUUAAGCAGCUCGAGGCUUCAGGGAAACCAGAUAGCUUUAGUGGCAAAUUCUUAGUUCCUUCGUACCGUGGUUCGUCCUUCUUGGACCCUAAGGGUCGUGGUGGAUCCACUGGGUAUGAUAAUGCUGUGGCUUUGCCUGCCGGAGGCAGAGGAGACGAGGAAGAGCUGUCGAAAGAAAACGUGAAGAACACGGCGGCUUCCGUCGGAGAGAUCACGUUGAAGAUCACUAAAAGCAAACCGGAGACAGGAGAAGUGAUCGGAGUGUUUGAGAGUCUUCAGCCGUCGGAUACUGACUUGGGUGCUAAGGUACCAAAGGAUGUGAAGAUC